CUGAUCUGGAAAAUAUAUCCAGGACAAUGUCAGAAUCAUUGAACUACCUGAAAGCCAUAAUCAAAAGGAGGAUCUGGACAGCCUCUUUCAAGAAAUUACUGAGGAAAACUCCCUGGAUAUCCUGAAACCAGAUGGCAAAAUAGGCAUUGAAAGAAUCCACAGAUCACCUCAGGAUAGAGAUUCCCAAAAGGAAUAUUAAUAGCAAAAUUUGAGAACUAAUCAGAUUAAGGAAAAAAUACUGCAAGUGACCAGAAAGAAACAAUUCAGAUAUUGGGGAGCCAUGAACAGGAUUACAUAGGACGUAUCAGCUGCAACAUUAAAGGAUAUGAAGUCAUGGAACAUGUUAUUCUGAAAGGCAAAGGACCUAGGACUACAACCAAGAAUAACUUACCCAGCAAAAUUAAUCAUAAUACUUCAAAGGAAAAAAUGGUUAUUCAAUGAAAGAGGAUUUUGUUUUCAUAAGGAGAAGACCAGAAUUGAAUAACAGAUUUGGUCUCUAAUAUCAAGACCCAAGAGAAGCCUCAAAAGGAUAUAAAUGUAUGCUUUGUAACCCUAAAGUAGUGAAUUUUGAAUGUGCAUUAUUAUUAACUAUGUGUUCCCUGAGGAAGAGACAAGAGGCCAUAUGAGUCAGUUCCCUCAGCCAUCAUCCUGGGAAACGAACCCUGUGGAGAUGAAGCCUGGCAAUUCUGCUGAAGGACCAGAAAAUAAAGUUCUUGUCACUGAAAUCCCUGGCUCUAUCAAAUGGUUCAACAUCAGAAAUUGAUAUGAUUUUAUCAGCAGAAAUGACAUUAAAGAAGAUACAUGACCAUCUGCACUGCUGCUGUACUCUCUGACUUGCGACCUAAACCUUCCCUAUGUGUUGUCUCUCCUACUAGAAUGUGAGCUUCUUGGCAGUAGGGAAUGUCUUUUUUUAUUUGUAUUUCCAGCACUUAGCACAGUGCUUUGCACAUAGUAAGAUUAAUAAAUGCUUCAUUCAUUCAUUCUCCUUGAUGAUCAUGUAUUUAUAGAACACCUUUGAUAUGUCCAGCACAUGUAUAAAACAUGAUUCCUGCCAUUAAGAAGUAUAUAGGCUCAUUGGAGAGAUCAGAUAAUGUCACAUGAGACAAUUAUUGAACAAUACAAGGGAGCAGAUAAUUGAAUGCUAAACUGUAUGUUUUGAGUGUAGAAAUUCAAAGAAGGGAGAUAUUUGUAUAGGUUGAUAGUGGGGGGAAAUUUAAUUGAAGAGCCUGAAUUUGAGAGGGGAUGUUCAAUGGGGGGAGCAGUAAUUACUGACUUUAUGUUUGACAAUUUACAAAUGGCAAUUUUCUUUUUUUUUCUAAUAAUAAACAUUUUCAUUUAACUUUUGAUUUCCCAAUUUUAUCCCUCCUUC